rnacentral:rRNA from 1 species
AAAUCCUGGGCAACUGGGAAAGUAAAGUGGCGCACGGGUGAGUAACGCGUGGGUAACCUACCCUUGGAUUUGGGAUAACUCCGCGAAAGCGGGGUUAAUACCGAAUGAUAUUCCGAUUUCUACGGGGAUCGGAAUCAAAGGUGGCCUCUGCAUGCAAGCUAUCGUCUAAGGAUGGGCCCGCGUACCAUUAGCUAGUUGGUAGGGUAAUGGCCUACCAAGGCUCCGAUGGUUAGCUGGUCUCAGAGGAUGGCCAGCCACACUGGAACUGAGACACGGUCCAGACUCCUACGGGAGGCAGCAGUGGGGAAUCUUGCGCAAUGGGGGAAACCUUGACGCAGCAACGCCGCGUGGGUGAUGAAGGCCUUCGGGUCGUAAAGCCCUGUCAGGUGGGAAGAAACAUAUCGGCGCUAAUAUCGCCGAUGUUUGACGGUACCGCCGGAGGAAGCACCGGCUAACUCCGUGCCAGCAGCCGCGGUAAUACGGAGGGUGCAAGCGUAGUUCGGAAUUACUGGGCGUAAAGCGCGUGUAGGCGGUCGGGCAGUCAGAUGUGAAAGCCUUCCGCUUAACGGAAGAAGUGCAUUUGAAACUACCCGGCUGGAGUACGGGAGAGGAGAGUGGAAUUCCCGGUGUAGAGGUGAAAUUCGUAGAUCUCGGGAGGAACACCAGUGGCGAAGGCGGCUCUCUGGUCCGAUACUGACGCUGAGACGCGAAAGCGUGGGGAGCAAACAGGAUUAGAUACCCUGGUAGUCCACGCCGUAAACGAUGGGCGCUAGGUGUAGGAGGUAUAGACCCCUUCUGUG